rnacentral:rRNA from 1 species
UGAGGAAUAUUGGUCAAUGGACGCAAGUCUGAACCAGCCAAGUAGCGUGCAGGAUGACGGCCCUAUGGGUCGUAAACUGCUUUUAUAUGGGGAUAAAGUGGGGAACGUGUUCCCUUUUGCAGGUACCAUAUGAAUAAGGACCGGCUAAUUCCGUGCCAGCAGCCGCGGUAAUACGGAAGGUCCGAGCGUUGUCCGGAAUCAUUGGGCGUAAAGGGUACGUAGGCGGGUAAGCAAGUUAGAAGUGAAAUCCUGUAGCUCAACUACAGUAAGCUUUUAAAACUGCUCAUCUUGAGAUAUGGAAGGGAAAGUGGAAUUCCUAGUGUAGCGGUGAAAUGCGCAGAUAUUAGGAGGAAUACCGGUGGCGAAGGCGACUUUCUGGCCAUAAUCUGACGCUGAGGUACGAAAGCGUGGGUAGCAAACAGG